rnacentral:rRNA from 1 species
AUGCAGAACGGGGGCGGUGGAUGGAGAUUGCAGGGGCCGGAUCCGGGCACGGCAGGGCCUAGGGAGGCGGAUCCGCAGGCGGGCGGCGCGGCAGUUAUCGCCGGUGACGAAGAGGAAGGCCAAAGUGUGGUUUUCCGGGCGGAUCCAUGGCGUCGAGGGCUGUUGGGCAGAGAGGAGACAAGGAGCGCGUGGCGGAGUGCCCUGAGGCCGCGGAUGCUGCUGCUACACCCGCACCACCAGCCCAAGUUAUGGUUUCAUGAUAAAAGGAUCGUGCACCAAACGUUUGUUGAAUUGAUGCUUCAAGAAAAUGUAUGGAGUUUUCAUUGCGUGCUUCAAGUCAUUAACCAGGUAAAA